rnacentral:rRNA from 1 species
UACGUAGGUCCCGAGCGUUGUCCGGAUUUAUUGGGCGUAAAGCGAGCGCAGGUGGUGUAUUAAGUCUGGUGUAAAAGGCAGUGGCUCAACCAUUGUAUGCAUUGGAAACUGGUAGACUUGAGUGCAGGAGAGGAGAGUGGAAUUCCAUGUGUAGCGGUGAAAUGCGUAGAUAUAUGGAGGAACACCGGUGGCGAAAGCGGCUCUCUGGCCUGUAACUGACACUGAGGCUCGAAAGCGUGGGGAGCAAACAGG